GACGAACGCUGGCGGCGUGCCUAAUACAUGCAAGUAGGACGCAGUUGCGAACGGGUGAGUAACGCGUAGGUAACUACCUGUGAGAGGGGGAUAAAUAUUGGAAACGAUAGCUAAUACCGCAUACUAGUAUAUGGCCCUUCGUUGUAUGAGCUAGUAGGUAGGGUACUGGCCUACCUAGGCAACGAUACAUAGCCGACCUGGGAGGGUGAUCGGCCAACCUGGGACUGAGACACUGGCCAGACUCCUACGGGAGGCAGCAGUAGGGAAUUGUCGGCAAUGGGGGGAAGCCUGACCGCGCAACGCAGGGUGAGUGAAGAAGGUUUUCGGGUCGUAAAGCUCUGUUGUUCAGGAAGCGGUACGUAAAGAGAAAGGGACGGCUAACUACGUGCCAGCAGCCGCGGUAAUAC
rnacentral:rRNA from 1 species